rnacentral:misc_RNA from 1 species
UCAACUAAAAAGUCCACCAUCUCAGCUAAGGGUAUUGGCUGUUGAAAAGGUUCAGAGGAGCAAAGCAGAUCCUCGUAUGUUGUGGUCCAGCUCAUAAUUGGCUCUCUAGGCAUUCUCUGUGACUUUGGAGACAGAUCACCCGUCCACUGUUUUCGUUUCUCAUGCCAAGCUUCCUCAGCAUGGUUAACAAACGCAUCCUUCUCGGCAGAAUUCUCUUUGCUGGAGUUACUUGAACCUCUCAAAUGCCCAUUUUCAUGGGAAUGUGAAUCGCUGUUAUUGAUUUCCAUUGUUUCCACUCUGGACAUCGUGGACAACCAUCGCCUUUUUAGCUACUAUACUUCGUUUCAACCGUGAAGCGUCAGGACAAGUGCCAAGGAAGGCUCUGAAAAUGAGGUUUUCACCGAAAGAGAGCACUCACUUAUGCCGUUG